rnacentral:lncRNA from 12 species
CCCCCCCCCCCCCCCCCCCCCCCCCCCCCCCCCCCCCCCCCCCCCCCCCCCCCCCCCCCCCCCCCCCGCGGCUGUCGCGGGCUGGAGCGACCGAGCCGCGCCCGGGGCUGCUGCCGGGAUUUUGGGCUGCUGCCGGGAUUUUGGGCUACUCACGGAUUUUUAGGCUGCUCCCAGGAUUUUGGGCUAUUCCCGGAUUUUUAGGCUGCUCCCGGUGUCCUUGGGCUGUUCCUGGAACUUUGGGCUUCAUCCUGAAUUUUUGGGCUAUUCCCGGAAUCCUUGGGCUGCUCCCGGAAUUUUUGAGCUUCUCCCAGAAUCCUUGGGCUUCUCCCGGAAUUUUGGGCUGCUCCUGGAGUCCUUGGGCUGCUCCUGGAAUUUUUGAGCUUCUGCCGGGAUUUUUUAGCUUCUCCCUGGAUUUUUUAGCUUCUCCCGGAGUUUUUGGGCUGCUCCCCCUGCGGAGGGUCCGAGGCGCCGGCCGUGCCCCGCAGGAGCCGCUGGACAGCGCAGGGAGCUCCGUGUGCCCGGAGCGAGGCCGGCGUGCGUGAGAGGAGAUCCCGGAGGAUGUGAGAGGAUAUUCCAGAUCAGAGGACAUUCCAGAGGAUCCAAGAGGAUAUUCCAGAGGAUCCAAGAGGAUAUUCCAGAGGAUGUGAGAGGAUAUUCCAGAGGAUCCAAGAGGAUAUUCCAGAGGAUCCGUGAGGAUAUUCCAGAUCAGAGGACAUUCCAGAGGAUCCAAGAAGAUAUUUCAGGGAAUCUGAAAGGAUGUUUGGAGGAUCUGAGAGGAUAUUCCAGAGAAUCUGAGAGGAUAUUCCAGAGGAUCCAAGAAGAUAUUUCAGAUCAGAGGAUAUUCCAGAUCAGAGGAUAUUCCAGAUCAGAGGAUAUUUCAGAGGCUCCAGGAGGAUAUUCCAGAUCAGAGGAUAUUCCAGGCCGGAGGGUAUUUCAGAUCAGAGGAUAUUUCAGGGACGUGAGAGGAUAUUUGGAGCGAUUUUCCCGAGCCUGGCAUCUCUCCUUGUCCCGCUGUUGCCGCCCUGACGUUCCCACCUCCCCCUUGUCCUGCUGGGCUCCCGUUUGGAGCCGUGGGCACUGGGAUUUUGCUUUGCUUUCUCCCAACCCAGCCGUGGAUCGACACCUGCCGGGCUGCACCCGGGGCUGGCCAAUCCCUCCGCGCCCCCACGGCACCAGCGGCCACCAACCCCCGAAACCGCCGGCCCGAAUGGCGACCUCCAGCAAAACGUAGCUGCUGAAGCAGCCAGGCGGCGGGCUGGGGGUGUGGGGGGAGGAUCCAUGAGAGGCCCCCCCCCCCCCCCCCCCCCCCCCCCCCCCCCCCCCCCCCCCCCCCCCCCCCCCCCCCCCCCC